GGUGAGCUAGGUGUGCAGGACGCACAGAAUUUGGCUAAGCUGGAGGGAGGGAGACAUAAGGACACCUCCUGGAGUCGAAGCAAGACAAACAGGGCAGUAACGGGGCCACAACCAAGUCGGAGAAGACAGAAGGGGAAGGAGCAGCUUUUCUACUUUUUCUUGGAAUUUCUGUAGCAUAGACAGCUGGAGGAACCAAUUUUAAAAAUCACCUGCUUUCCAUUAUGGAGUCAGAUUCUCCCUUUUAUUACCAUCUCUUUUCUUGGACUCAAUGACAGUCUGUUAUUGGAUUUUUAAUCUGACAAAACUGAUGUCAAAGGAAAGGAAUGUAUUAUUUGAGGCCUCAAGGUUAUGUCAAUUUUGCUGGUUCUCAGUGAUCCACACUGUCUGUUGGGUUAGGCUGGCGUGGACGAGGCUCUUUGGGGGAAUCUCAGAUCAGACUUAGGGAUGUGGGGAUGGAGAAUAAGGAGAUUAUUCCGGACUCUCUCCCCUCUGCCUUUCUUCACUUCUCACUAAGGGAUAGAGAUCUAAGAACAAACAGUCCUAGGAGAAAUGCUGUAUAUGCAACUCUGCCUCAACAGCGGGUUCAGAAAGGAGGCCAGCAGGGAUCCAAGGAUGGUUCCUAGAGGAGAGAGGACAGAAGACUCCCCAAGGUAGGAAAGUUUCAGGAGCUCUGUACCUUCGGGUAUACGCUGCCCUCUCUCUGGACUGCAGUCUUUACCCUCUUCUUUGGUUGUCACAUUCCUACUCUUGCUUUUUCUUGAUGUCUUCCUCACACUUGCCCAGGAAGUGCUGAACUUCACCCUCCUCUCCUUUCCCAUCUCCAUAAUACACGUAUCACACUGUAUUAGAUUUUCCAUAUGAUGUCUGGCAGGACAGCCAAAUGGUUAAGAGCACAGUCACUGGAGUUAAAACAGCCUGGAUCCAAAUCAUGUUUCUGUCACUUAUCAGCAUGUGACCUAGGACAAGGGAUUAAACCUCCUCUUGGAGGUUUGUUCAUCGCUUAAAGGGGAUUAAUAGACUACAUGCCUUAGAGCGUUCUAAUAAGGAUUAAAUGCCAUGUGCUUAAAAGAGUGUCUGGGGGCCGGCCACAGUGUGCUUUUUUCAUGUAACAAAUUGUCUUGGAGAACUUUUCUAAAUUGCAGAGGGUUUUAUAGGAUGGCUUUCCAUAGUUCUUUUUCUUAUUGAUGGACACUGAGGUUGUUUCCAAACUAAAUGAUGAUUUCAUUUUCGCACAUCUUCUAUCACAUCAAAUUA
rnacentral:lncRNA from 1 species